GAGUUUAUCCACCAAUGCUAUGAAAUCUAACAGAUGACAUAUCGCAACCUCGGAUCGAGAACCAGAUUUUGCGGCUGACAUUUGACAGACGGGAGACUGGAAGGGGAGCGGAAGGGAGCGACACAGUGCCUCCGCGAAAGAGCGCUGGAUCACGGCUGGGAGUCCACAGACCGUCGGUGGGGCACGGCCCGUGCCGAUCUGUCGUCCAUGAUCAGACGUCGGGAAAUAAACAUGUAGCUAGCUACUGCUACUUGGUUAUAGUACAUACAAUUCAUCCUAAAUAAGAACACGGGAAAGCGGGUUUAACGUGUCGAUUACGGUACGGUGUUCCACGUUAUUUUGACGCAGAUACAAACCCACAGUACCAGUGGAACAACAACAUACCGGACAGGAAUAGAUUAACUCAGGUGUCCAGCCUCCCUUCAUCACCUCCACCACCACCUCAGGCCUGCAGUCUCCCUCUCUCCCCCCUCUCACCCCAUUCUGUCCCCCGUGGAAGAGGACAACACCCUACCCCAGACCACCCUAGUUCCAACUAGACUACAAUCCAACAUCCUUCCACUCCACCCCUCCCCAAACAGACGAGGGGGAGAGAGGAGCUUCGCCCCCCCCCCUCAUCCCCUCCCUCCCUCUCUCUCCCCCCUCCCAACAUGCAGCCUCAGGGCCUGUAUGUAAGAGCCAUGGUACAGCCCAUCCCUAGAUUGAAAUCUUGAACCACUCCAGUUGUACUCCACUGAGUAAUGAAGUGAAGCUAAAUGUUCUGAUGUGAAACUGGGCUGGACCAGCGCUGAACGGACAGGAGAGAACAGGAUGUGACCUCAGCAUCAGCCCACCUCACUUCCUGUUCAUCUCAACUAAUAGGAAGACUGGAUCACAGGCCUCAAAUUCCACAAUCACCCAAAUCAAACUUUAUUUAUAAAAGCCUUUUUACAGCAACAUUUCUCACAAAGUGCUUUACAGUAGUCACCUUAGUAAACCUCUUUCUGACUUCCAGAGAGCAGGCAGCAGCACAGUGGCAAGGGAAACCCUCCUUACAAGUGGAGAUGUGUUAGCUAACCUCUGACCUCUGACCUGUGUCUGGGCUUGGCUGCUUGUUGGAUCCAGGCUGUAGAAUCUAGUGGUUUCUACUGACCGUAGCUAGGGCGUCAGCUUCUAGAGUGUUCUAUUAGGUUCUAGUACGUUCUAAUAAGGUUCUAGUAUGUUCUGUUAUGUUCUAUUAGAUUAUAAUAUGUUCUCUUAGGUUCUAG
rnacentral:lncRNA from 1 species